rnacentral:rRNA from 1 species
CCAGACUCCUACGGGAGGCAGCAGUGGGGAAUAUUGCACAAUGGGCGAAAGCCUGAUGCAGCGACGCCGCGUGAAGGAUGAAGUAUUUCGGUAUGUAAACUUCUAUCAGCAGGGAAGAAAAUGACGGUACCUGACUAAGAAGCCCCGGCUAACUACGUGCCAGCAGCCGCGGUAAUACGUAGGGGGCAAGCGUUAUCCGGAUUUACUGGGUGUAAAGGGAGCGUAGACGGCGAUGCAAGCCAGAUGUGAAAGCCCGGGGCUCAACCCCGCGGACUGCUUUUGAAACUGUCAGGCUGGAGUACAGGAGAGGUAAGCGGAAUUCCUAGUGUAGCGGUGAAAUGCGUAGAUAUUAGGAGGAACACCAGUGGCGAAGGCGGCUUACUGGACUGUAACUGACACUGAGGCACGAAAGCGUGGGGAGCAAACAGGAUUAGAUACCCGCGUAAA